rnacentral:rRNA from 1 species
UACGAAGGGGACUAGCGUUGUUCGGAAUCACUGGGCGUAAAGCGCACGUAGGCGGAUGUGUCAGUCAGGGGUGAAAUCCCGGGGCUCAACCUCGGAACUGCCUUUGAUACAGCACGUCUCGAGUCCGGAAGAGGUGGGUGGAAUUCCUAGUGUAGAGGUGAAAUUCGUAGAUAUUCGGAAGAACACCAGUGGCGAAGGCGGCUCACUGGUCCGGUACUGACGCUGAGGUGCGAAAGCGUGGGGAGCAAACAGG